CUACGGGGGGCAGCAGUGGGGAAUUUUGGACAAUGGGGGAAACCCUGAUCCAGCCAUCCCGCGUGUGCGAUGAAGGCCUUCGGGUUGUAAAGCACUUUUGGCAGGAAAGAAACGUCAUGGGUUAAUACCCUGUGAAACUGACGGUACCUGCAGAAUAAGCACCGGCUAACUACGUGCCAGCAGCCGCGGUAAUACGUAGGGUGCAAGCGUUAAUCGGAAUUACUGGGCGUAAAGCGUGCGCAGGCGGUUCGGAAAGAAAGAUGUGAAAUCCCAGGGCUUAACCUUGGAACUGCAUUUUUAACUACCGGGCUAGAGUGUGUCAGAGGGGGGUGGAAUUCCGCGUGUAGCAGUGAAAUGCGUAGAUAUGCGGAGGAACACCGAUGGCGAAGGCAGCCUCCUGGGAUAACACUGACGCUCAUGCACGAAAGCGUGGGGAGCAAACAGGAUUAGAUACCCGGGUAGUC
rnacentral:rRNA from 1 species